GAUGAACGCUGGCGGCGUGCCUAACACAUGCAAGUUGAGCGAUCUUCUUUGGAAGAGAGCGGCGGACGGGUGAGUAACGCGUGGGUAACCUACCCUGUACACACGGAUAACAUACCGAAAGGUAUGCUAAUACGAGAUAAUAUGUUUCAUUCGCAUGUUUGAAACAUCAAAGCUCCGGCGGUAUAGGAUGGACCCGCGUCUGAUUAGCUAGUUGGUGAGGUAACGGCUCACCAAGGCGACGAUCAGUAGCCGACCUGAGAGGGUGAUCGGCCACAUUGGGAACUGAGACACGGUCCAAACUCCUACGGGAGGCAGCAGUGGGGAAUAUUGCACAAUGGGCGAAAGCCUGAUGCAGCAACGCCGCGUGAACGAUGAAGGCCUUCGGGUCGUAAAGUUCUGUUGUAAGUCAAGAACGGGUGUGAGAGUGGAAAGUUCACAC
rnacentral:rRNA from 1 species